CCUACGGGUGGCAGCAGUGAGGAAUAUUGGUCAAUGGGCGCGAGCCUGAACCAGCCAAGUCGCGUGAAGGAAGACGGCCCUACGGGUUGUAAACUUCUUUUAUAAAGGAGUAAAGUGAGGCACGUGUGACUUAUUGUGCGUACUCUAAGAACAAGCAUCGGCUAACUCCGUGCCAGCAGCCGCGGUAAUACGGAGGAUGCAGGGGUUAUCCGGAUUUAUUGGGGUUAAAGGGAGCGUAGAGGGGUUGUCAAGUCAGUUGGGAAAGUUUGCGGCUCAACCCACGUAUUGAAGUUGAUACUGGUAGUCUUGAGUGCAGUAGAGGUAGGUGGAAUUCGUGGUGUAGCGGUGAAAUGCGUAGAUAUCACGAAGAACUCCGAUGGCGAAGGCAGCUUACUGGACUGCCACUGACGCUGAUGCACGAAAGUGUGGGUAUCAAACAGGAUUAGAUACCCGAGUAGUC
rnacentral:rRNA from 1 species